rnacentral:rRNA from 1 species
GAUGAACGCUGGCGGCGUGCCUAAUACAUGCAAGUCGAGCGAACGGACGAGAAGCUUGCUUCUCUGAUGUUAGCGGCGGACGGGUGAGUAACACGUGGAUAACCUACCUAUAAGACUGGGAUAACUUCGGGAAACCGUAGCUAAUACCGGAUAAUAUUUUGAACCGCAUGGUUCAAAAGUGAAAGACGGUCUUGCUGUCACUUAUAGAUGGAUCCGCGCUGCAUUAGCUAGUUGGUAAGGUAACGGCUUACCAAGGCAACGAUGCAUAGCCGACCUGAGAGGGUGAUCGGCCACACGGGAACUGAGACACGGACCAGACGCCUACGGGAGGCAGCAGUAGGGAAUCUGCCGCAAUGGGCGAAAGCCUGACGGAGCAACGGCGCGUGAGUGAUGAAGGUCUUCGGAUCGUAAAACUCUGUUAUGAGGGAAGAACAUAUGUGUAAGUAACUGUGCACAUCUUGACGGUACCUAAUCAGAAAGCCACGGCUAACUACGUG